AAUAAUGUAACAUUUAAUAAAUGUCAUUUGAAAGCUGAAUUCGAUUAGUCAGUUAUGAGCGUUACAGAGUGAAAAUUUUAAACAGCGAAAUACGUUUUCUAAAUAUUUAAAAAAACAGUGCUGACUUUCAAAAUGUGACUGACGGAGGUAGGGGAAAAAAAUCUAAACUUCAGUUUGCUUGCCAUUUUAAUUCUUGGAGGCACAUUCAUGGAAUCAAAUGCAAGAACUUGAGAAAAGAUAUGAAGAUCAGUUUCUAUGGAGUGGAAAGAAGACCUUAGAGAAUGCUCUAGAAGAAAUAAAAAGUGGUAAGAAAGUAAAAAGCUCCGAAAUAAAAUU